ACUCCSCAGGCGGAGUGCUUAAUGCGUUUGCUGCAGCACUAAAGGGCGGAAACCCUCUAACACUUAGCACUCAUCGUUUACGGCGUGGACUACCAGGGUAUCUAAUCCUGUUCGCUCCCCACGCUUUCGCGCCUCAGCGUCAGUUACAGACCAGAGAGCCGCCUUCGCCACUGGUGUUCCUCCACAUCUCUACGCAUUUCACCGCUACACGUGGAAUUCCGCUCUCCUCUUCUGCACUCAAGUUCCCCAGUUUCCAAUGACCCUCCCCGGUUGAGCCGGGGGCUUUCACAUCAGACUUAAGGAACCGCCUGCGCGCGCUUUACGCCCAAUAAUUCCGGACAACGCUUGCCACCUACGUAUUACCGCGGCUGCUGGCACGUAGUUAGCCGUGGCUUUCUGGUCAGGUACCGUCAAGGUACCGGCAGUUACUCCGAUACUUGUUCUUCCCUGACAACAGAACUUUACGACCCGAAAGCCUUCAUCGUUCACGCGGCGUUGCUCCGUCAGACUUUCGUCCAUUGCGGAAGAUUCCCUACUGCUGCCUCCCGUAGAGUCUGGGCCGUGUCUCAGUCCCAGUGUGGCCGAUCACCCUCUCAGGUCGGCUACGCAUCGUUGCCUUGGUGAGCCGUUACCUCACCAACUAGCUAAUGCGCCGCGGGCCCAUCUGUAAGUGACAGCCGAAACCGUCUUUCAGCUUUCCCUCAUGUGAGGGAAAGGAUUAUCCGGUAUUAGCUCCGGUUUCCCGAAGUUAUCCCAGUCUUACAGGCAGGUUGCCCACGUGUUACUCACCCGUCCGCCGCUGAUCUUCAAAAGCAAGCUAAUGAAGAUCCGCUCGACUUGCAUGUAUUAGGCACGCCGC
rnacentral:rRNA from 1 species